CCUACGGGAGGCAGCAGUGGGGAAUAUUGCACAAUGGGGGAAACCCUGAUGCAGCCAUGCCGCGUGUGUGAAGAAGGCUCUAGGGUUGUAAAGCACUUUCAGUGGGGAGGAAAAGUUAGUCGUUAAUAGCGGCUAACCGUGACGUUACCCACAGAAGAAGGACCGGCUAACUCCGUGCCAGCAGCCGCGGUAA
rnacentral:rRNA from 1 species